AUACGUAGGGUGCGAGCGUUAAUCGGAAUUACUGGGCGUAAAGCGUGCGCAGGCGGUUUUGUAAGACAGGCGUGAAAUCCCCGGGCUCAACCUGGGAAUGGCGCUUGUGACUGCAAAGCUGGAGUGCGGCAGAGGGGGAUGGAAUUCCGCGUGUAGCAGUGAAAUGCGUAGAUAUGCGGAGGAACACCGAUGGCGAAGGCAAUCCCCUGGGCCUGCACUGACGCUCAUGCACGAAAGCGUGGGGAGC
rnacentral:rRNA from 1 species